rnacentral:rRNA from 1 species
CGGCUAACUCCGUGCCAGCAGCCGCGGUAAUACGGAGGAUCCGAGCGUUAUCCGGAUUUAUUGGGUUUAAAGGGUGCGCAGGCGGACUGAUAAGUCAGCUGUGAAAGUUUACGGCUCAACCGUGAAAUUGCAGUUGAUACUGUUAGUCUUGAGUAUACAUGAGGUGGGCGGAAUUUGUGGUGUAGCGGUGAAAUGCUUAGAUAUCACAAAGAACUCCAAUUGCGAAGGCAGCUCACUGGGGUAUAACUGACGCUGAGGCACGAAGGUGCGGGUAUCAAACAGGAUUAGAUACCCUGGUAGUCCGCACAGUCAACGAGGAAUACUCGCUGUUUGCGAUAUACAGUAAGCGGCCAAGCGAAAGCAUUAAGUAUUCCACCUGGGGAGUACGCCGGCAACGGUGAAACUCAAAGGAAUUGACGGGGGCCCGCACAAGCGGAGGAACAUGUGGUUUAAUUCGAUGAUACGCGAGGAACCUUACCUGGGCUUAAAUUGCAACUGACAGGACCCGAAACGGUCCCUUCUUCGGACAGUUGUGAAGGUGCUGCAUGGUUGUCGUCAGCUCGUGCCGUGAGGUGUCGGGUUAAGUCCCAUAACGAGCGCAACCCCUAUUGCUAGUUACUAACAGGUCAUGCUGAGGACUCUAGCGAGACUGCCGUCGUAAGAUGAGAGGAAGGUGGGGAUGACGUCAAAUCAGCACGGCCCUUACGUCCAGGGCGACACACGUGUUACAAUGGGUAAGACAGAGGGCAGCUACCUGGCGACAGGAUGCUAAUCCCAUAAACUUACUCUCAGUUCGGAUCGAAGUCUGCAACUCGACUUCGUGAAGCUGGAUUCGCUAGUAAUCGCGCAUCAGCCAUGGCGCGGUGAAUACGUUCCCGGGCCUUGUACACACCGCCCGUCAAGCCAUGGGAGUUGGGGGUACCUGAAGUACGUAACCGCAAGGAGCGUCCUAGGGUAAAUCUGAUGACUGGGGCUAAGUCGUAACAAGGUAGCCGUACCGGAAGGUGCGGCUG